AUUGAACGCUGGCGGCAUGCCUUACACAUGCCAGUCGAACGGCAGCACGGGUGCUUGCCCCUGGUGGCGAGUGGCGAACGGGUGAGUAAUACAUCGGAACAUGUCCUGUAGUGGGGGAUAGCCCGGCGAAAGCCGGAUUAAUACCGCAUACGAUCCACGGAUGAAAGCGGGGGACCUUCGGGCCUCGCGCUAUAGGGUUGGCCGAUGGCUGAUUAGCUAGUUGGUGGGGUAAAGGCCUACCAAGGCGACGAUCAGUAGCUGGUCUGAGAGGACGACCAGCCACACUGGGACUGAGACACGGCCCAGACUCCUACGGGAGGCAGCAGUGGGGAAUUUUGGACAAUGGGCGAAAGCCUGAUCCAGCAAUGCCGCGUGUGUGAAGAAGGACUUCGGGUUGUAAAGCACUUUUGUCCGGAAAGAAAUCCUUGACUCUAAUACAGUCGGGGGAUGACGGUACCGGAAGAAUAAGCACCGGCUAACUACGUG
rnacentral:rRNA from 1 species